UGGGGAAUCUUGCGCAAUGGGCGAAAGCCUGACGCAGCAACGCCGCGUGCGGGAUGAAGGCCCUCGGGUCGUAAACCGCUUUCAGCAGGGAUGAAAAUGACAGUACCUGCAGAAGAAGCCCCGGCUAAAUACGUGCCAGCAGCCGCGGUAAUACGUAUGGGGCAAGCGUUAUCCGGAUUUAUUGGGCGUAAAGCGCGCGUAGGCGGCUUGUUAAGUCAGGUGUGAAAUCCGGGGGCUCAACCCGCGGCUUGCACCUGAAACUGGCAGGCUUGAGGCUGGUAGGGGAAAGUGGAAAUCCUGGUGGAGCGGGGAAAUGCGGAGAUAUCAGGAGGAACACCAGUGG
rnacentral:rRNA from 1 species